UAGGGAAUCUUCGGCAAUGGGGGCAACCCUGACCGAGCAACGCCGCGUGAGUGAAGAAGGUUUUCGGAUCGUAAAGCUCUGUUGUAAGAGAAGAACGUGUGUGAGAGUGGAAAGUUCACACAGUGACGGUAACUUACCAGAAAGGGACGGCUAACUACGUGCCAGCAGCCGCGGUAAUACGUAGGUCCCGAGCGUUGUCCGGAUUUAUUGGGCGUAAAGCGAGCGCAGGCGGUUUAAUAAGUCUGAAGUUAAAGGCAGUGGCUUAACCAUUGUUCGCUUUGGAAACUGUUAAACUUGAGUGCAGAAGGGGAGAGUGGAAUUCCAUGUGUAGCGGUGAAAUGCGUAGAUAUAUGGAGGAACACCGGUGGCGAAAGCGGCUCUCUGGUCUGUAACUGACGCUGAGGCUCGUAAGCGUCGGGAGCAAACA
rnacentral:rRNA from 1 species